CCAGGUUGAUUCUGCCUGACGUAGACGCUAUUCCCUAAGAUUAACCCAUGCAUGUUUUUGACAUUUGAAAAAUGGACUGCUCAGUAAUACUCACUUUAUUUUAUGUAAAUUUUUAAUUAACUACGUUAAAGUGUAGAUAAGAUGUUUACAGUAAGAGUGAGACCUAUCAGCUAGUUGUUAAGGUAAUGGCUUAACAGGGCUGUGACGGGUAAUGGUAUUACUUUGUAAUAUUCCGGAGAAGGAGCCUGAGAGACGGCUACUAAGUCUAAGGAUUGCAGCAGGGGCGAAACUUGACCUAUGGAUUUUAUCUGAGGCAGUUAUGGGAAGUAAUAUUAUAUUGUUUCAUAUUUUAAAAGUAUAUGAGGUGAUUAAUUGGAGGGCAAAUCAAGUGCCAGCAGCCGCGGUAAUACUUGUUCCAAGAGUGUGUAUGAUGAUUGAUGCAGUUAAAAAGUCCGUAGUUUAUUUUUUUAAGAAGCAAUAUGAGGUGUACUGUAUAGUUGGGAGAAAGAUGAAAUGUGACGACCCUGACUGGACGAACA
rnacentral:rRNA from 1 species